UAUUUACAUUAGGGAUUUACGGCUAUUUAUAGUCCCUUAAAAUUAAUAGCGGGUUCGCUAAUUAUAUUAAAUAUAGUAAUUCUAUAUUACUAUAAUCGUACAGCGGGUUCUUAUUGUAAAACCCCCUAUUUCUAAAGUUGACCUCGGAUUAAGUAGGAAUACCCACUGAAUUUAAAUAUAUUAAUAAAUAGAGGAAAAGAAAUUAAUAGGGAUUGCCCUAGUAACGGCGAGUAAAGCGGCAAUAGCUCAAAUUUAAAAUUUGGCUUUAGCCUAAAUUAUAAUUUAUAGAGGAAGCUUUUAGUAAAGCACCUUCUAAAUCCCCUAGAAUAGGGCGCUAUAGAAGGUGAGAGCCUCGUAUAGUCGGAUGCUAAUCUAAUAUAAAGCUCCUUCAAUAAAUCGAAUAGUUUGGGAAUACUAUUUAAAAUAGGAAGUAAAUUUCUUCUAAAGCUAAAUACUAGCUAGAAAUUAAUAGUAUAUAAGUAGAGUAAUCGAAAGAUGAAAAGCACUUUAAAAAGAGGGUUAAAUAAUAUAUAAAAUUAUUAAAAGGGAAGCGUUUGUAAUUAGACUUAUACUAUUCCGAUUAUCCAGUAUUCUUAUUAGUAUAUUUAGGAUAGUUUAAGCUAAUAUCAGUUUUAGUAGAGGGAUAAAGGUUUGGGGAAUAUAACUCCUCUAAGAGUAUUAUAGCCCCGGGCGUAAUACCCUUACUAGGACUAAGGUUUAUAUAUUUAUAAGAAUACUAGUAUAAUAAUUAUUAAUAAUUUGUUUUAAAAUAUAGACUAAAGAAUUAAGGUUUUAUAUAAGUAUUUAGGUAUAAAACCCGUAUAUAUAAUAAAAAUAAAUAUAAGUAAGAGCUUUAGCGUAUUAUCGACCAAUCCUAAUAUAUUCGGAUAAAUUUAAAUAAAAGUAUUAAACCUUAAACCCGAAAGAUGGUGAAUUAUAUUUAAAUAGGGUAAAAUUAGAGGAAAUUCUAAUAAAGGUUCGUAGCAGUUUUAACGUAUAAAUCGAUUAUUAAAUUUAAAUAUAGGGGCGAAAGAUUAAUUGAACUAUCUAGUAGCUAAUUACCACCGAAGUUUCCCUUAGGAUAGUAGUAUUAUUCUUUAAUUUUAUAAAGUAAAGCGAAUAAUUAGGGAUUCGGGGGCGCUUUUUAGCCUUUAUCUAUUCUCAAACUUUAAAU
rnacentral:rRNA from 2 species